rnacentral:rRNA from 1 species
UACGUAGGGUGCAAGCGUUAAUCGGAAUUACUGGGCGUAAAGCGUGCGCAGGCGGUUCGUUAAGACAGAUGUGAAAUCCCCGGGCUUAACCUGGGAACUGCAUUUGUGACUGGCGGACUGGAGUAUGGCAGAGGGGGGUAGAAUUCCACGUGUAGCAGUGAAAUGCGUAGAGAUGUGGAGGAACACCGAUGGCGAAGGCAGCCCCCUGGGUCAAGAUUGACGCUCAUGCACGAAAGCGUGGGGAGCAAACAGG